rnacentral:rRNA from 1 species
AUGGUGGAAAAUGUGUGUGUGCCUAAGGAGAGGGGCGGCAUGGGCUUCAGAGAUUUGCAUUGUUCUACUUUGGCCCUUUUGGCUAAGCAGUGUUGGAGAUUGUUAAGUGAACCAGAUUGUUUAUGUGCUAGAGUUCUAAAGGCCAAAUAUUUCCCUCAUGAAGACCUCCUCAACUGUAGUCUAAAGAAAGGGAGCUCAUACACAUGGAAGAGUCCGUGGAGUGGUAUUCAAACUUUCAAGCGAGGACAUAUUUGGAGAGUAGGCGAUGGUUCUCAAAUUAAGAUAUGAGAAGAUCCAUGGAUACCGAGCAGUCCUACACGAAAAGUUAUGACAUCGAGAGGUAACAUUUUGAUUACAAGAGUUUCUGAACUCAUUGAUGUUGAAAAUAGGACGUGGGAUGAACAACUAAAUGAUAUAUUUUGGCCUAUUGAUGUGUAACGAAUUAUGAACAUCCCUUUGGUAGUGGGUAUGAUGGGUGAUUUUGUCUCAUGGCACUUUAACAGAAGUGGGAUUUUUUCUAUUAGAUCGGCUUACCAUGAAGAAAUGGAGCACUAG